UCGGGGUAACAGCAGCCUCCCGGUCAGGCUUUACGGCCCAAGCGUUGC
ncrna:unclassified sequences chromate-resist RNA